CGUAGGUAACCUGCCUGGUAGCGGGGGAUAACUAUUGGAAACGAUAGCUAAUACCGCAUAAAAAUUGAUUAUUGCAUGAUAGUCAAUUAAAAGGUGCAAUUGCAUCACUACCAGAUGGACCUGCGUUGUAUUAGCUAGUUGGUGAGGUAAAGGCUCACCAAGGCAACGAUACAUAGCCGACCUGAGAGGGUGAUCGGCCACACUGGGACUGAGACACGGCCCAG
rnacentral:rRNA from 1 species